AACAAGAUGAUUUACUGAAAGAAAAUCUACGUUUAGCUCAAGAAUAUCAGGAAUUACAGACUACUUUCUUAACCGAAAAGGACAAUUAUUUCAAUCUAUAUGAUAAAGAGUUAUCACUUGCUACUUCAAUUCAAGAUAAGAAACAGACAGCAUCGCCAUGUGACAGUGAGCCAAAGAAGGAAUUAUGGCAAUACCACCUCCCCAGAUACCUCCCUGUGUUGGAACUUUGUGGACCAAGAAAACAGAAGAAUAUCUACAUAGACUACAGAGCAAAUUAAGACACCCAAGAAUGCUGAAUCCAGGAAAAUUAUUGUCUAUGUGCUAGAAACAGCAAGGUG